UACGGAGGGUGCAAGCGUUAUCCGGAAUCAUUGGGUUUAAAGGGUGCGCAGGCGGUUUAAUAAGUCAGUGGUGAAAGCCCGUUGCUCAACAACGGAACUGCCAUUGAAACUGUUAGACUUGAAUUUAGUAGAAGUGGGCGGAAUGUGACAUGUAGCGGUGAAAUGCUUAGAUAUGUCACAGAACACCGAUAGCGAAGGCAGCUCACUAGGCUUGAAUUGACGCUCAUGCACGAAAGCGUGGGGAGCAAACAGG
rnacentral:rRNA from 1 species